rnacentral:rRNA from 1 species
CCUACGGGAGGCAGCAGUGGGGAAUCUUGCGCAAUGGGCGAAAGCCUGACGCAGCCAUGCCGCGUGAAUGAUGAAGGUCUUAGGAUUGUAAAAUUCUUUCACCGGGGACGAUAAUGACGGUACCCGGAGAAGAAGCCCCGGCUAACUUCGUGCCAGCAGCCGCGGUAAUACGAAGGGGGCUAGCGUUGCUCGGAAUUACUGGGCGUAAAGGGAGCGUAGGCGGAUAGUUUAGUCAGAGGUGAAAGCCCAGGGCUCAACCUUGGAAUUGCCUUUGAUACUGGCUAUCUUGAGUGUGGGAGAGGUAUGUGGAACUCCGAGUGUAGAGGUGAAAUUCGUAGAUAUUCGGAAGAACACCAGUGGCGAAGGCGACAUACUGGCCCAUUACUGACGCUGAGGCUCGAAAGCGUGGGGAGCAAACAGGAUUAGAUACCCUGGUAGUCCACGCUGUAAACGAUGAGUGCUAGUUGUCGGCAGCAUGCUGUCGGUGACGCAGCUACGACAUAAGACACUCCGCCGUGGGAGGUACGGUCGCGAGAAUAAACUACGAAGAAGUAGACGGCGNGAGACGUGCCGAACGGACGACGACGAGGGAGGUAGG